AGGUACAAUGGAACACAAGGCGUCCAUACUAAAGUCACGGAAUUCGAGAGGGAUAAAGAGUGCCUUGUGUGUGGUCCUGGUGUACUUAUUGAAGUGGAGCCUUCAGUCACAUUGCAGAAGUUCAUUGAUCUUCUGGAAGAACAUCCUAAGUUGAGGUUAUCACGAGCCAGUGUCUCGCAUCGGGGAAAAAAUCUGUACAUGCAAGCGCCACCUGUAUUGGAAGAAAUGACUCGAUCAAAUCUGAGCCUAACUCUUUUCAAUCUGAUGGGUAAACCAUCCAGGGGUAUUGUUCAUGUGAAUGGUACAGCCACCACGAACGACCAAAAAGUCUCCUGCCUGAGAAAAUUAUCAGUUGUUUUCAAGGGAAUUGAUGGUGUUACAGAUAUGGACACAGCAGGAGGAGCAUAAUUUUGCAUCAAGGGUUUACAAAACAUGAAAGGUUUAUGAGAUUUGAGAGAUCAUGGCAGAUUGCUAGUAUUGUUGAGGCAGAGAUAAUUGUGAAAAAGGAUCUGAGCGUAAUGAUAUUUCUCUGUAAGAAUCAAAUAACUCCUCAAUGUGGUUAUUCAAUUCAAAACCAUAUUGAUCUAAAUAGCCAUGUGGUUUGAUUAUUCGACCCUCGUGGAUAAAAUUAACGUAGAUUGGCCCAACCUCAUGAACAUUUCUCAGUUUCUUUCUGCAGAUUUGUUGCCCCCGGAUCAUAGCCUACUGGUUAAUUUCAUUUUAUCACAUAUGCUUAAUUAUGUUGAUGUAGCUCUGGUACAUCGUGGAUUUAACUUUUAGCUUAAAUUUU